UCCCCGAUAGCUCAAUGGUAGAGCACUUGACUGUUAAUCAAGGUGUUGCUGGUUCGAGUCCAGCUCGGGGAG
rnacentral:tRNA from 1 species